GACGAACGCUGGCGGCGUGCUUAACACAUGCAAGUCGAACGGUAAGGCCUUUCGGGUUCAUACGAGUGGCGAACGGGUGAGUAACACGUGAGCAACCUGCCCUUUACUUCUGAAUAUCAGCUGGAAACAGCUGCUAAUACCUGAUAUGACCCUGGUCCUCCUGGACUGGGGUGGAAAGCUCCGGCGGUCAGUGAUGGGCUCGCGGCCUAUCAGCUUGUUGGUGAGGUAAUGGCUCACCAAGGCUUCGACGGGUAGCCGGCCUGAGAGGGCGACCGGCCACACUGGGACUGAGAUACGGCCCAGACUCCUACGGGAGGCAGCAGUGGGGAAUAUUGCACGAUGGGCGCAAGCCUGAUGCAGCAAGGCCGCGUGCGGGAUGACGGCCUUCGGGUUGUAAACCGCUUUCAGUAGGGACGAAGCCAAAAGUGACGGUACCUACAGAAGAAGGACCGGCUAACUACGUG
rnacentral:rRNA from 1 species